rnacentral:rRNA from 1 species
GACGAACGCUGGCGGCGUGCUUAACACAUGCAAGUCGAACGGAAAGGCCCUGCUUUUGUGGGGUGCUCGAGUGGCGAACGGGUGAGUAACACGUGAGUAACCUGCCCUUGACUUUGGGGUAACUUCAGGAAACGGGGGCUAAUACCGGAUAGGAGCUCCUGCUGCAUGGUGGGGGUUGGAAAGUUUCGGCGGUUGGGGAUGGACUCGCGGCUGAUCAGCUUGUUGGUUGGGUAGUGGCUGACCAAGGCUUUGACGGGUAGCCGGCCUGAGAGGGUGACCGGCCACAUUGGGCCUGAGAUACGGCCCAGACUCCUACGGGAGGCAGCAGUGGGGAAUAUUGCACAAUGGGCGGAAGCCUGAUGCAGCAACGACGCGUGCGGGAUGACGGCCUUCGGGUUGUGAACCGCUUUCGCCUGUGACGAAGCGUGAGUGACGGUAAUGGGUAAAGAAGCACCGGCUAACUACGUG